rnacentral:rRNA from 1 species
CGGCCGCAGUACUCUGACUGUGCAAAGGUAGCAUAAUCAAUUGGCUUUUAAUUGGAGUCUAGUAUGAAUGGAUUUACGUAAAAGUUCUGUCUCAACAAAAUUUUUUUUAAAUUUUUUAAAAGGUGAAAAAACCUUUAGUAUCUAAAAGACGAGAAGACCCUAAGAAUUUUAAAAAAAUUAAUCUAUCUUUUUUGCUGGGGCGGCAACGGAUCAUGAAACAUCCGUAUAAUCGAGGUUUUCGUAUUAUAAAUUACCUUAGGGAUAACAGCACAAUUGUUACCUCGAUGUUGGACUAGGAA